GAGUGGGUCCAACGUGGCGAAACCCUAUGAAACUUGUCAGAUCCGAAAGGAAGCAGCAAUAAGUAGUUGUUUUCGGGUGCCGUUGGGAAACCUACUCGGG
rnacentral:SRP_RNA from 1 species